rnacentral:rRNA from 1 species
UACAGAGGGUGCGAGCGUUAAUCGGAAUUACUGGGCGUAAAGCGUGCGUAGACGGCUAUCUAAGUCGGGUGUGAAAGCCCCGGGCUCAACCUGGGAAUUGCAUUCGAGACUGAAUAGCUAGGGUACGGUAGAGGGAAGUGGAAUUUCCGGUGUAGCGGUGAAAUGCGUAGAUAUCGGAAGGAACAUCAGUGGCGAAAGCGACUUCCUGGACCAGUACCGACGUUCAGGCACGAAAGCGUGGGGAGCAAACCAGGA